rnacentral:rRNA from 1 species
AUUGAACGCUGGCGGCAGGCCUAACACAUGCAAGUCGAACGAGUGGCGGACGGGUUAUUAAUGUCUGGGAAACUGCCUGCUGGAGGGUGAUAACUCCUGGAAACGGUAGCUAAUCCCGCAUACCAUCAGCUUUUCCCAGCUGGUAUUAGCUAGUUGGUGGGGUAACGGCGCACCAAGGCGACGAUCCCUAGCUGGUCUGAGAGGAUGAGCAGCAACAGUGGAAGUGAAGGACGGUCCAGACUCCUACGGGAGGCAGCAGUGGGGAAUAUUGCACAAUAGGCGCAAGCCUGAUGCAGCCAUGCCGCGUGUAUGAAGAAGGCCUUCGGGUUGUAAAGUACUCUCAGCGGGGAGGCGUUACCCGCAGAAGAAGCACCGGCUAACUCCGUGCCAGCAGCCGCGGUAAUAC